rnacentral:rRNA from 1 species
UACGAAGGGGGCUAGCGUUGUUCGGAAUUACUGGGCGUAAAGCGUGCGCAGGCGGCUUCUCAAGUCAGGGGUGAAAGCCCAGAGCUCAACUCUGGAAUUGCCUUUGAGACUGAGUGGCUUGAGUACGAGAGAGGUGAGUGGAAUUCCCAGUGUAGAGGUGAAAUUCGUAGAUAUUGGGAAGAACACCGGUGGCGAAGGCGGCUCACUGGACACGUAUUGACGCUGAGGUGGCGAAAAGCGUGGGGAGCAAACAGG